rnacentral:rRNA from 1 species
UACGUAGGGUGCAGGCGUUAAUCGGAAUUACUGGGCGUAAAGCGUGCGCAGGCGGUUUGCUAAGACAGGUGUGAAAUCCCCGGGCUCAACCUGGGAACUGCAUCCGAGACUGCAUUGCUAGAGUAUGGGAGAGGGAAGCGGAAUUUCUGGUGUAGCAGUGAAAUGCGUAGAUAUCAGAAGGAACAUCAGUGGCGAAGGCGGCCUGCUGGGCUGUUGCUGACGCUGAGGCGCGACAGCGUGGGGAGCAAACAGG